rnacentral:rRNA from 1 species
UGGGGAAUAUUGCACAAUGGGCGCAAGCCUGAUGCAGCCAUGCCGCGUGUGUGAAGAAGGCCUUCGGGUUGUAAAGCACUUUCAGCGAGGAGGAAGGGUGGUGUGUUAAUAGCACAUUGCAUUGACGUUACUCGCAGAAGAAGCACCGGCUAACUCCGUGCCAGCAGCCGCGGUAAUACGGAGGGUGCAAGCGUUAAUCGGAAUUACUGGGCGUAAAGCGCACGCAGGCGGUUUGUUAAGUCAGAUGUGAAAUCCCCGCGCUUAAAGUGGGAACUGCAUUUGAAACUGGCAAGCUAGAGUCUUGUAGAGGGGGGUAGAAUUCCAGGUGUAGCGGUGAAAUGCGUAGAGAUCUGGAGGAAUACCGGUGGCGAAGGCGGCCCCCUGGACAAAGACUGACGCUCAGGUGCGAAAGCGUGGGGAGCAAACA